rnacentral:rRNA from 1 species
AACGAACGCUGGCGGCAUGCCUAACACAUGCAAGUCGAACGAGACCUUCGGGUCUAGUGGCGCACGGGUGCGUAACGCGUGGGAACCUGCCCUUAGGUUCGGAAUAACUCUCCGAAAGGGGUGCUAAUACCGGAUAAUGUCUUCGGACCAAAGAUUUAUCGCCUUUGGAUGGGCCCGCGUUGGAUUAGCUAGUUGGUAGGGUAAAAGCCUACCAAGGCGACGAUCCAUAGCUGGUCUGAGAGGAUGAUCAGCCACACUGGGACUGAGACACGGCCCAGACUCCUACGGGAAGCAGCAGUGGGGAAUAUUGGACAAUGGGCGAAAGGCUGAUCCAGCAAUGCCGCGUGAGUGAUGAAGGCCUUAGGGUUGUAAAGCUCUUUUACCCGGGAUGAUAAUGACAGUACCGGGAGAAUAAGCUCCGGCUAACUCCGUG